GCCAGGCAUGGUAGCGCAUGCCUGUAAUCCCAGCUACUUGGGAGGCUGAGGCAGGAGAAUUGUAUGAACCCGGGAGGUAGAGGCUGCAGUGAGCCGAGAUCACGCCACUGCACUCCAGCCUGGGUGACAGAGCAAGACUCUGUCUCAG
rfam:Homo sapiens chromosome 1, GRCh38 reference primary assembly.